GUGGUUAGGGUGGCAACCCCAGCGCGCAAUGAAAGUGAAUGGAUUCGUUCAGAAUCGACCGAACUUGAUUAUUAUGACAGUUUUGAGUAAACACAUCCAUUGGGACCCGAAAGAUGGUGAACUAUGCCUGGAUAGGGUGAAGUCAGAGGAAACUCUGAUGGAGGCUCGUAGCGGUUCUGACGUGCAAAUCGAUCGUAGGAUCUGGGUAUAGGGGCGAAAGACUAAUCGAACCAUCUAGUAGCUGGUUCCUUCCGAAUA
rnacentral:rRNA from 1 species